UGAUGGCUGUUUCUCUCACUGCUUGGGGCCUUAGGUGGUAGGAUUUUAGUCCAUCAUAUAUCUAAGUUGACUUGUCUUCACUCAGGGCACCCUGAGGAUGGUUUGGCUGUCCGUCAGUGCCUUCUGAUUUUUGCGGAGUCAAACAAUC